GGCGUGGCUCAACGGUAGAGCAGCUGAUUUGUAAUCAGCAGGUUGUUGGUUCGAUUCCGAUCGCC
rnacentral:tRNA from 1 species